AAUACUUCAGUAAAAGUUCCAGUCCCCUUUCUGCGUGUUUUAUUUUCCAACCAAAAGAUGGUGUUAUUGGACAUUUCUAGUGGUUUUCCUUUCUCUCAUUUCUUCCUAAGAGCCCAGAAUAGGUUUCAGAGAGACGCUUCCUUGCCUCGGACCUCACUGGGGCCAAGAGGCCACAGGGUCAGUCUUCGCAGCUGAAGACAGCGCCGCAAUAAGCAGAGACCUCGGGACGAUGAAUGACGUUGCUGACAAAGAAAAUGAUUUUUUUAAUUGCUUUAACAAAGGAGACUGCUAGUCUCGAAAGCAGACCCGAACUGGACCCUUGUGCCUGUUCGAACUGUAGCCUUGCAAAGGAAUGGACUUACUGAUAACUGGAAUACGGGACUUCACCCCAGGCUUGUUUCUCGACAGCAGCAGCAGCCAAUGAGCAUUGAGGACGGAGCCUAGGAGAGGUGCCUCCCCUAUAGGGGAACAGUGUUGGGGGGAAAUCACUGCAAACGUACAGCUGGAGUUUUGUACCUGAACUUUGGCUCCCAGAAGGCAGGAAAGGAAAUGAAUGAAGCAAGCUGAGUAUGGCAGGGAGGGCCCCUGUGGGUACACCUACGGAGCACCUUGAGCUCAGUAGGGGGACAGUCUGAGUUUUCCAGAAAGAACAGAAAUAUAAAGUGAUGAUUAAAUCUCGGGAUUUUUAAUUUUUGAGUGUUGACAACUAAUUAGAACAUUUUUAAAGCAGGUCAAAGCACAGGCAGGCUAACCGGCCCCACGCACAACUUGCAAGGUGGGGCGCACCAGGCUCACUGCACAGCCCAUACCCACAGACCCCUCAGAUUGGAGUCGGGGCAGAAGCAGAACGCAGGACUCGCAGGAAACAGACCAGGUUCCAAGGCCCCCGGGGUCCCAAAGGCUGGGGUAACUGAAGGUUCCCACGCUCAGGCCUCCACUCUUCAAGUCCGCUGCUACUCCACUGAGAUCUGUAAUGAGUCUCCUGCCAUCUACACACAGUGGUGACCCCUCUUCUCCAAGGCCCCGCCAGGAGUCUUUCAUUCCAACGUGUUCGCAGGAUCUUCUGGGGAACCGUCCAGCCUGGCAGCUGCAGGAACUGCGAGAAGUUAAGGGUCUGUGCCCACCUAUCCCAGCUUCCUUUGCAAGGAGGGUGUUGUGCACCAGAAGGCCCUGGGGAAAGUGGGAGCCGCAGACAGCCCGGCAGCUCUUCUAUGUCUGGGGUUUGCAGGAGCACUGCCUCCCGGGGGGGGGGGGCGGGGGGAGGCGGGUGAGGACAGCACGUGACUUCCCCUCCUAAUGUUCAUGUGGUGGGGAGUCACCCUGGGGGCCUCCCGCCAAAUUUUAGUAUCUCUGUGAUUUUAGUUGUUGCCCCAAGCAGUUAGGACUUGUGUAGUUUGAAAGAAAAAUCUCACCCAGCAUAAAAAGAGAAAAGGGGGAAUUGUAACAAAUGUUAAUCAUAAGCACUGUUUCAACCCGGAAAAAUGUUUGCUGCCAGGCUGUGGGCAAAGAGGUGGCCUCGGCGGCUGGCAGCUCAGUGGGCCUUCCAAGUUUACUAAGCAGGGUCUUGUAUUUUUAAAUAAAAUAGAGCAUCAGACACGCUCACUUAAA
rnacentral:lncRNA from 1 species